rnacentral:misc_RNA from 1 species
GAUGAAGAACGCAGCGAAAUGCGAUAAGUAAUGUGAAUUGCAGAAUUCAGUGAAUCAUCGAAUCUUUGAACGCACAUUGCGCCCUCUGGUAUUCCGGGGGGCAUGCCUGUUCGAGCGUCAUUAUAACCACUCAAGCUCUCGCUUGGUAUUGGGGUUCGCGGUUCCGCGGCCCCUAAAAUCAGUGGCGGUGCCUGUCGGCUCUACGCGUAGUAAUACUCCUCGCGAUUGAGUCCGGUAGGUCUACUUGCCAGCAACCCCCAAUUUUUACAGGUUGACCUCGGAUCAGGUAGGACUACCCGCUGAACUUAAGCAUAUCAAUAAGCGGAGGA